GUGAACAUAAGACAAUUAUAAGAAUCUUAUUUAACUUCUUUUUACAGGUGUCGUCAUCUACAUCUGCAUGGCUGAAGUCAAAACUUUUGUCAUCAAUAUUUUAUGGUCUUCAUAAAAACUGAGGAAUUUAUGUACCCAGUUUGUGGUGAUUGGGAUGGGGCUGGCCCAGCCUUAUCCCCAAUGGGCUCCAGCUGUGAGCAGCAGAUUGUGGGAAUGAGAGGAGUGCAUUAAGGAUAAACAAAGCCUGAGGAUGAUGAGUGCAUGAAAACACCUUUGUUAUCCAUUGCAGGACUCUUACAGGACAGAUGGCUUCUCAUGUUGUGCAUCCAGACAGAGAAGUAAAAGGCACAGAUCAUGAAAAGGGAGAUGGGAAUGGCUGAAUGAGCCACGCAUCACAGUGAUGAGGUAAGGCCUUCCUUUAACAACUGCAUCCAGCUCCCUCUGCUCCUGGC